GACGAACGCUGGCGGCGUGCUUAACACAUGCAAGUCGAACGGAAAGGCCCUGCUUUUGUGGGGUGCUCGAGUGGCGAACGGGUGAGUAACACGUGAGUAACCUGCCCUUGACUUUGGGAUAACUUCAGGAAACUGGGGCUAAUACCGGAUAGGAGCUCCUGCUGCAUGGUGGGGGUUGGAAAGUUUCGGCGGUUGGGGAUGGACUCGCGGCUUAUCAGCUUGUUGGUGGGGUAGUGGCUUACCAAGGCUUUGACGGGUAGCCGGCCUGAGAGGGUGACCGGCCACAGUGGGAAUGAGACAAGGCCCAGACGCCUACGGGAGGGAGCAGGGGGGAAUAUUGAAAAAUGGGCGAAAGCCUGAUGCAGCGACGCCGCGUGAGGGAUGACGGCCUUCGGGUUGGAAACCUCAUUCAGUAGGGAAGAAGCGAAAGUGACGGUAAAUGAAGAAGAAGCACCGGCUAACUACGUG
rnacentral:rRNA from 1 species